rnacentral:rRNA from 1 species
UAUUCCCUACGGGGGGCAGCAGUGGGGAUAUUGCACAAUGGAGGAAACUCUGAUGCAGCGACGCCGCGUGAGGGAAGACGGUCUUCGGAUUGUAAACCUCUGUCUUUGGGGAAGAAAAUGACGGUACCCAAAGAGGAAGCUCCGGCUAACUACGUGCCAGCAGCCGCGGUAAUACGUAGGGAGCGAGCGUUGUCCGGAAUUACUGGGUGUAAAGGGAGCGUAGGCGGGCGAGAAAGUUGAAUGUUAAAUCUACCGGCUUAACCGGUAGCUGCGUUCAAAACUUCUUGUCUUGAGUGAAGUAGAGG